GUGGAAAAUAUUGAUGAGAUUAAAUUUUUUGAAUUUUAUAAAAUUCGACAGAUGGCCAGAUAAAAAAACAAGAAGUUGAUAAAUUCAAAAAACGUUCAGUAAAACUUAUAUGGUUUACAGAAAUUAGUUUAAUAGCAAUGAAAAUAAUAUUAUUAACAUUAUGACGAUCGCAUUUUAUAUAACCUACGCUUAGGUUGCAGAUCCAAAAUCUGGCAAAAAUCCCUUGGUAUGAUAUAUCAGGAAAAAUUAUCUGCACAUAUACGACUUUGUGAUAAGCAUUUUG